GGCUUCAGAAGCCGUCUUCCUUCCCCCACGCCUGCCCAGCUCUGUGAUGGUUACAGGCUUGUUCUUGUUUAUAUCUUUGAUUCCAUUGUUAUUUUAUGUACUUGUGAAACUGACCCAGCAUUGCACGAGACAAGUUUGCUCAAAGACCAUUUGCCAACCAUCUUUGGUUACCAGGAGCCUGGCUUUUGACACUGAACUUGGAGUACUUUCCUGAUUGAGCAUUCUGGAAAGGGGCACAGCAGGAAGUAGAAACAGCAGGCAGAUGCUGGAUUCGAGAUUGGCGAAAACUUCAAGACAAACAUUUGGAGAGUCUUAUUUACCUGCCUUUUUUUUUUCACCCGGGCAUUUGCCCACUGGGCAUUUGCCACUCUAUCUGAGGACAAGUCAUACACCGGGAGGCGGAUCCUGGAUUCGUUUGUCCCUCACCAGCUGUGUUGAUGCUGUACAAAUUGUCUAAACUCUCUGAGGCCUCUGUGAACUCAUGAAACACCUCCUGGGCAGGGUUUUUGUGAUAUUUAAGUGAUCUUUGAAAGAUGCAUGUAUAUGAGUGAUUUGUCAUCUUAAAAUGCUUUUCAACCUGAAUUGUCUUAACCGAUAACAGUCAUGUGGCUGUCUCCAUCACAGAGCCAUUAAUCAACCAAUAAAUAUAGCUAAGCAUGUAUUAUUUUCAAGAUACCAUGGUAGGUAUUUCCCUGGUGGUCCAGUGGCUAAGAAUCCUCCUGCCAACGCAGAGGACACAGGUUCAAUCCCUGGUCUAAGAAGAUUCCACAUGCUAUGGAGCAACCAAGCCCAUGGGAAGAGAAGAAGAGAAGCCACUGCAGUGAGAAGCCGGCACACCAUAAUUAGUAGCCCCCAUUUGUCGCAACUAGAGAAAACCUGCGUGCAGCGACAAAGACCCAGCAUAGCCAAAAAGAAAUAAAUAAAAUUUUUAAAUCAAAAAAUUACUAUUAAAAAAAGAUACUGUGUAAUGGCUCUAAAAAAGACUGAAAGAAAAUUAAGUCAUGGUCCCCAUUCCAGAGGGAAUAUUUCUAGGACUGUGGCAGAUGACACUUUCCACAGAUGGCUGUAACGAUACCUCCCACCCCAAACGCCCUGACAGCGUGUCUUUGGCAUUCCUUUCCCUGAGAGAUGGGGUUUGUUUCUCCCCUCUGAAUCUGAGCAGGCUUGGGGCUUAAAGUGGUGAUAUGUGACACCCUGGCUAGCUCAUAAAAGGCAAUAGCUUCUGCCUGGUUCCCUGGGUCAUGUGCCUUUGGAACCCUGAGCUUCAUGUGAGAAGUCUGAAGCUGCCAUGACGAGAGGAAGCCCAGUCCACAUGGAGACGCCAUGUGCAAGUGUUCCAGCCAAUAGUCAGCAUCAAAUGCCAGACAUAUGAGGAAAGAGAUUUCCAUGUGGUUCCAGCCCCAGCCAUCAAGUCACUUCUACCCUUGGGGUCUUCCCAGAAGAGACCCCAGACAUCUUGCAGCUCCACCAUAUGGCAUCCAUUGCCUCCAGGAAAAGAUGGGAAAGCAAAAGCAGAGAAAAGAUGUUAUGAGCUAAGGAAGCUGCAGCUAUAAUAUGACUAAGGCAAGGAGCAUUUCCCAGCCAAGACGUCACAUACUCCUAACACCCUUAACAGCCAUGGUGAGGA
ensembl:lncRNA